rnacentral:rRNA from 1 species
GUGAGGAAUAUUGGUCAAUGGGCGGGAGCCUGAACCAGCCAAGUCGCGUGAAGGAAGAAGGAUCUAUGGUUCGUAAACUUCUUUUGCAGGGGAAUAAAGUGCAGGACGUGUCCUGUUUUGUAUGUACCCUGAGAAUAAGGAUCGGCUAACUCCGUGCCAGCAGCCGCGGUAAUACGGAGGAUCCGAGCGUUAUCCGGAUUUAUUGGGUUUAAAGGGUGCGUAGGUGGUUUGAUAAGUCAGCGGUGAAAGUUUGCGGCUUAACUGUAAAAAUGCCGUUGAAACUGUCGGAGUUGAGUGUAAAUGAGGUAGGCGGAAUGCGUGGUGUGGCGGUGAAAUGCAUCGAUAUCACGCAGAACUCCGAUUGCGAAGGCAGCUUACUAAGCUACAACUGACACUGAAGCACGAAAGCGUGGGGAUCAAACAGGAUUAGAUACCCCUGUAGUCC